AGGGGACAAGGGCGUGCAUGAAGGAGCUGUUAAAAGAAAUCCCAUUCCAUAUCUUUAAUUCGGACUGCUUUAAACUGCAAAACCUUCAAUUAUAUCUUUUCUAAAUUCAGUUUUACUGAAUGUUUCAGAUGCGUAUGCUGCCAUUUCAUUCCAAACAUCACAGAAGGUUUUUUCAUUUCUUAUUGCUGUGUUUAGCAACAACAUCUUGUGCUUUUUUUUUUUAAUUCAUGUUUGGCAGAUUCAAUGUUUUUACUAGUAUACUGGCUUGUGCAUGUUCAAGAAUUUAUAUGCCGGAUAAGAAAAGUAAAAUUGUAAGAAAUAAUACAAAUCUGUAUCUUAAGACUUAGCUAAAUGUUCACCUCUGUCGUCUACAUAGAGAAUAUAGUUUUAUUCAACUUCUAAAGAGUUAUUUUGCUACGGCUAAUCAACUAUGCUAUAGCUUGGCUAGUCAUCAGUGUGUCUUGGCUUUCAACAAAUCUUUGAUGCUGGUUAAAACUGUUCACAUUUAAGAGAAGUGUUGUGUUCAUUUCUCAUAGUCAGUAAAUAAAUCAACCAAAGCUAUCUAGACUAGAGACCCUGCACACCAUGUAGUACAAUGAUAUUGUAAAGUAAGUAGCAGUCUCAUUUUUAGACUUUUUACUAAAACAAAACAAUAUGGACCAUUUUGAGAAAAAAAAAACAACCUAUGUUUUACCCUUCUAAAAUCCCUACUGUCUUUGCAACCUUGUUUUUAGUUGGGUUUUUUUGUUUGUUUGUUUUGUUUUGUUUUUUGCAGCCACAGAAAUUGUGUAAAGUAAAUGGGGGGCUGUCCGGGAUCCUUUUUGUUUCCAUGGGUGAGUGUUUAAUUAAGAAAAUCCUCUUCAGCAAGAGUAUUUUAGCUGUGUUGCUAUGCUGUCCUCCCAUCUAAGCAUGUGUUCGUUAUUUUGCUUUGGUACAUUACUAGACUUUGAUAGUUAAGUGUAUUUCUGGCCUGCUUCUGACUUUAGAGUUUAUCAUUAAAGGGCCAGACUGAUAUACACUGAAGAGAUAUGAUACAGUAUAAGACAAUACAACGAUAGUUUUUAUUUAUUUUUUUCUAAUUUUUUAGUUCAUUUUUAUUUCUUAAGAUGAGAUUUUUUGAAAUAUUCCACGUUCUUGCUCCCAGUAGAAAGGUGACACCACUCUCAAGUUGGUACAGUAAAUAUGAAGCAACCAGCAGCAUAUCAGCAGACUGGCUUCUUGGCUUGUGCUAAAGUCACCUAUUCACAUAGCAUGCUAUAUUAAAUUUGUUCAAUUAAUUAAAACACAUUUUCCAUUUAUACUUGAGAAGGCUUUGAGGAUUGUAAUCAGCAAGAAAGUACAGCAGUUUACCAUAGUUUAAAGAAGGAAUGGCAUUAUUACUAUUAGUAACAUAAAGCAUAUUGCUGCAGUACAUAUCAUAUCAAGUGUGUUUGAAAGGUACGUCAAAGGUGUCAUUAUAAAUCUGUGAUACUUUUAUAUUAAACUCUUGAUAUACAAAUACCUGAAAUCAUGUCUAAAC
ensembl:lncRNA